AUUAAUGAAUUUUGAAGGGGGUUGUAGCUGGCCUUUCCGUCUGGGAGGCAUUUUGUGCACACCCCGAUCAUCGUCCAUUCACACCUGUGCACACUCUGUAGGUUGGUGGUACGAGGCACGGUCUUCAUUGAUUGUGCUUUGGAAGCCGUCCUAUGUCUUAUUUACAAACUCUUGUUGGUUUAAAGAAUGUCUGUUUGCGUUCAACGCGUCUAUAUACAACUUUCAGCAACGGAUCUCUUGGCUCUCGCAUCGAUGAAGAACGCAGCGAAAUGCGAUAAGUAAUGUGAAUUGCAGAAUUCAGUGAAUCAUCGAAUCUUUGAACGCACCUUGCGCUCCUUGGUAUUCCGAGGAGCAUGCCUGUUUGAGUGUCAUGGAAUUCUCAACUUCAUUUGCUUUUGUGAAUGGAGAUUGGAUUUGGAGGUUUUAUUGCUGGACUUUGAUUUAGUUCAGCUCCUCUUGAAUGCAUCAGCUUGAGUCUUUUUGUGGAUCGGCUUCGGUGUGAUAAUUGUCUGCGCCGUUCUGUGAAGCGAUGUACUUGGCUUCUAAUUGUCCUUUGGACCCUUGACCUUUGACCUCAAAUCAGGUAGGA
rnacentral:rRNA from 1 species